UCCACCGGCAGCGUGGCUCCCCGUCGCUGUUGCCGGUACUGGAGCGUCCCAGCACACGGUGAUAACAGAAUUCGGACAAGCCUAAAAGACAGGCGUGAAGCAACAUCCCAGUUCAGGCGCAAUUUUGGGUGCGCAGAGUACCCUCACCACCUCCAGGAAGGGUUUCCGUCCUGACAGCAGCUGCGAGUGCAUUAACAUCUGUUCUCCUGAGCUGAGAAAGGGUGAGCGUGAAAGCACUCCCUUACUGCCACAAAUUAUGCUGUCAGACUUCCUGCAUUUGGGAAACCCCAGAACAUGGGCUGAACUUCACCCCGAAGAGGAUGAUUUUGUCACCAACGCGGAGUGCUAUAGUUUGCAGGAUGAUUUUUGUCGCUGGCACAGAGUGCUGUAGUUUGCAGGCGUAGCCCCUGCAGGGUAACUGCUGUGAGAGGCGGGCAGCCCGGCGUGCUGCAAGGUCCGUGUGCCUCCCCUCUCGGUGAACGGGUUCGCUUCGGCAGGAACGGCAGUCUGGCGCAAAUUACCCUCAAGGAGCCUGCCUUAUCCACCUGCUGCAGGUGGCUGGAGGAUAGGAAACAGCUUUUGGAGUGCUUCAUGCCAACUUCCACCCUGAAAGCGGGUGGCGGAAGAUGCUUCGCUGUUAGGAGAAAACAGGUUUCUCCUUGAGCCUGGUGGGGUAAAGGUGAUGCAUUUACAUUACAUUGCCUGCUCUGCAGUUUGGUGGAGUUCCACAAAAAACUCACUCUGCAGGAACAACGGCCCCAUGUCUUAAGAGUCCAGAUAUCCCUUCCACAGUUUCUAAUACAUCUGGCUGUAGAUUUGUCUGAAGAACCAAAUGAAUUGAAUCUUGGGCUACUAAUAUUUAUUGCAUCCCCCAUGUGAUUUGCACUGAAGUCCCUCGGGGAGAGGAGACUGCACGCACAGCUACCAGUAAGUACACCCCAGCCAGUAACUGUGGAAUCAGGGCGGAAUGCCAAACUUGCUGCUCAUAACCAAGUAUCACAUAGCUUUGUCAUACAAGCAUGUUGUCUUCCCUGUCACAUAUGCAUUUUAUUUUCAUUAUCUUGUCAUUUAUUUAUUAAGUUUUAACUCUCCUUACUGGAACAGAGUCCAGUUUCAUGCAGAGACUGGUGGACUGGAGAACUAUGUUCACUAACUUUUAAAAAGUUACUUUCACGUUUUUAUUGAUUUGCCAGUUUAGCUAAAAUACUGCUGACAGUCAAGCUGAAAUUGAAUAUUUGUUGUUGAUUCAUAAUGGUGCAAACUGGCAUUUAGACUUUUCGUAAAAUUUAAAAAGUGGCCUUUGCUAAGGGAAAAUCCAAGUGGAUGUUUCAUGAGACCUAGUCUAUAUAGUAGUCAAAGAAUGUCAUUCACAUUUUUAAUUUAGUUCAUAUAAUUUAUUUUGUAAUUUGAUUACCAAAAGACAUAGGCAAUCUGACUCUUUUUUUAGCCAUGAGUAUUACAACUGUAACUUUUUAGCUACUUUUUAUAUGGAUUAUUUCCUUAGAAUUUUAAAUAGUGACAGAUGUUUCCUGACAUUACUGUGUAUGUACUUUGUUCAGUAGCUGGAUAUAUUCCUCAGUGUUAUGUCAGUGACCUGAAUUAUUCCUGCAAGAGUUCACGAGCAACGGACUGAGGGAGUUUCAUAUAUUUAUUGCACUGAGUGAAAUUUGCUUCUUCCCUUUCAGGAGCCAAUGGGAGAAGAUUUCAAAUAAUGAAAACAUUUUGGGGCUCAUCUGAACAGUAUAUAUAUUGGUAUUUGUAUUUCUUGCUUAUAACUGAGGAAUAUUUUUUAAAGGCUUAGAUGCUUCUGUGCAAGAUGCCUGCUCCAUGGCCCAGUAUGGAUUAUAGGUCUCUUUUCAUUGAUUUAUUUCACUGGGCAAUGUCGAUUGACUUGUAGAGACCUUCCUGGAGAGACAGUGAGUUGUGUCUGCCUUUUCUUUCUUGGCUAUGCUGCUGCUAGAGAGAACGUUCAUGUUCUGAUGUGGCUGCUCUUUUGCAGAUCAUGCAGCUGGCAGUGAUAUAACCUCCGCUGGUGCCCUAGGUCUGACAGGACUUAGACAUGCUGGUUCAUUCCGCAGCAGUCAGAAGACAACUGUGCUUUAGACUCACUGAGGACGAGGGGCUGAGCAGAUGAGCACCGUGCCUAGCAAUGCCAUCUCCAGUGCUGCCAUGUGGGCAAAAUGUGCUCAAAUGAGAUCUAAAAGAGUAGCUUUCUCCUUCAUCAGUAUGGUGCCGCAGUGGAGGUCAUUGCAGGCCAGUUUACAGAGCAAUCCCCAGCAAGCAGAAGCAUGAACAAGGCUGUCGGGACUGGAGAAGAGGAGAUCUGUAUUUGUAAGAAAAUGUAAUACUGAGGGAAAGUUAGCAAAGAGAGGAAGCAACAGGCUGCAGUUAGGACAUAGAAGUGAGGACGUUUAGAGUUUGCUUCUGCCAGCAGCAAAAUUCUCAUUGACUUUAACUGGACUGAAACAAAUCAUCCAAGAAAAGGAAUACAGGAAAAGGAGAGAGUGGGCCCAUGAGAGAGAAAGCUGUUUAACAACUACUGUUUAAGGGCCUAGCGGUUGAAACUGUAUUCAGCCAAAGCUGGUGAGCUGAGGAAAACAUCAUUUGCCUUGAGAACUGUGAUCAAAUCAUAAGCUGGCAAUAUUGGUGAGGAUCGUCUUGCUUACCAGAGCUGAGCUGAUGUACAGGAAUUGGCAGUGCAAAGCUACCUGUGUUGCUGUAGGUACUCAAAGGCUUUGAGUCCCCAGGAUGGUCAGCAUCCGUUUAUAUGAGUGGACGAUACACCUGUGCGAGUACCCUGCUAGACUUGUAUCCAAGCCAAUCCAGGAUUCUUCUGAAACUCCCUGUGCUAGCAGCAACAUGAAAGCAGAACUCUGCAGUGGCAGCAGCAGCUACGCUUCAGUUUUAGAAUGAAGCGAUCAGAACUUCAUGUUGUGAAGAGCCUCCGGAUGCAUUUGGCCUUCUCAGAGCUGAUUUGCAAAACCCCAUUCCUCAGGAGAUUCAGGGAAGGGGCGCCUCGUUUCUGGAUGCCGAGAGCGCAGUGGAGCAUAGUGAGAAUGCACCUCCUGAAGGUGCCACUCUGGGCAGGUGCGGAAGCAGAAAACUUGAAUGUGAACCAAGGAGAGACCACAGAGUGCAGAUGGCUGAGAGACAAGGACCUUUGUGAAUCUGGACUUCAGUGCCUGCGUUGAAUUAAAGUCUUGUUUUAAGCACUUUAUUAGAGCUUAGACCCUGCUUCAGGACCCUUGAGUGGCAGAGGCUCUCCUGUCUUCAGUGAGCUCCAAACUGUGGCUUCACAAAUGUGCGGAGACCAGGAGAGUCGAAGAAAAUGGCUGGAUAUGAAGUUGGAGAGGAGUUGUUCCCAGGACUAACUCUUGCCCUUUUGCGCCUUCUCUGUAGAGACUUGAAUGCUUCACUGCUUAGAGUUAACUCAACAGCUUCACAAGAGAUUCAAUAAUAUUUGCUUUCACCCAAAUCCCUCGAAGUCUGAGGGGAUGGAGACAGCAUCAAUUUGAGAUGAGCAGCCAAGAAAAGUAAAUCAUCCUUGGGUCAGGAUAAACUUCCAUUUGAAGUGGCCACAGAUGGCAAAUAUGUUGAUGAAUCAGCAAUUUCACAGACCUCUGCCCAUUCGGAGAGUAGCAUGUGUAAACAAACAUGAAAACAGCACAGAACCACAGAGCUUUCCAGAUCCUUCCUGUUCCCUCCGUGCUGCUGAGGGAUCUCCUCAGAGGAGCCAUAGGGAACGAGAAGGCUGAGGCACAUACGUCCUCUCAUCAUCCUCUGCUUCAGCUACGCAAGAGCCAGCGAAGAGGGUAAUGGCAAGACACUGCUCCCUGUUCACCCACCAGCACACCCAGGCGUGCGCUUCAGUAAAGGAGACAACUGCUGACAUCCUGACUGCAGGUACUCGGGGGUUGUCUUAGAUAAAGGUAAGGAAAGAAGGGCUGGGUGAGGACAUGAGCUGUUGCACCACUGUGCAGCUGCAAAGUGGUGCAGAACAGCUCUUGAACACUUGGGUUGCACGGAGCAGGCCUGCCCCAUGGGGCAGCCAAUCUUGGCAGCUGAUGGGUGGGUAGAGGUGAGGAGAAGGGCUGCAGCAAGCCAUGGUGACGCAAGCCUCCUCUGAUACCUGCACUGGAUCCGUGUGCCCACGAGCACGGGAAUCCUGUAGUCUGGGACCUUAGAAACCUGUCAGGGUCCUGAUUCCCUUACUGCAGUCCCACACCACAGUCCUGUCCCCUGCUUGUAGCAUUGUCUGACCUUCCCCCUCCAUGUGAUGCAGAACCGGCAGCAGGGGCCCCUGUUCAUCGAUGCGGAGAUGUCCUCUCAGGCUCUCAGAUGACUCAAGCAGCCCUCCCUGCAUCCUGCCCUUGAUUUAUUUUUUUUUUCUCUGACAGUGACUAAAAAUCUUAUGAAAGCACUGUGUAAUUCCAUGGCGCUCAGACUCACUGCAGGCCAAGGGUGUGUGCCUGGAACCGAGCGUGCCUCACACCACAGAACCCCCCCCCAAAGCUCCUGCUGAUCUGGUGGGGGGGAUUUUUCCUGCCCCUGUUUGAUGUUUGCCAAAUGUUAUGCCAGGCGAAUGCAACACCAGAAGGCUAUGCAGAGGACCCCCGCUUUGCUGGACUCGUGUUAUAUAUUCUAGGAUCUGCUGACUAAGGAGGGCUCCCAAAGAGACACAGUGUCACUUCCAUUCCUGUCUGAAUGCAAGCCCUGAGGGUGCUUCUGCUGUAGGAUAACAUUAAGUGAUGAGAACUGGCCAAGCCAAAGGCUGUGCAUGAAUUGUUUGGGAGACUUUUAUAGACAGUCUAUCUGGGAUAAAACACAGAGCCCGGAUCUUCAAAGCACUGUGUGGGAUGGCAGCUAUGGGACUCCCAUUAAAGUUACUAGGCAUCACAUGACUGGAAACUUCUCUGGCACCAAUGUGUUUCUGCAGAGGAAUAGCUGAGACAAAGGAAAGUGGAGGAAAACGAACUCCACCAUUCCCCCAAGAGCAACACCUCACAAAAUUUCAACCCUGAGGCCUGCCUCUUUUUUGUAAGGACCAAUUAUAGUGGUUAUCACAGGAGAUGUAAAGGAACAUCUGAGACAUUGGGAUUUAUUGUCAGCAAAGGAGACGCUUCAAAUUCCAUUGCAAAGUUGGAGACCAUCUAAUCUAACUCUGUAAAGAAGUUGAGGGAGUUAAAUGGGGUAAAUUGGAUGAAUUUGGCUGUGAAGUUUGAGCAUCUGUUCACCAUCCACAUUUGCGGAGAAGAGAGAAGGUUCUCAGAGAAUUUCUUCACAGGCAUUACCCUCCAAAGUAAUCACCUCACGUAGUGAUAAAUAUUCAAGAAAGCAGCUAUAUUUUUGAGACAGAUUCAGUCACCAAAUGGAUGAAAGUUGGUACGCUCAAAAGCCCUGGUUUAUAUUUUAGGGAGGGAGGAAAGGUGUAACCUUUUCUGUUAUUCUUCUGAAGGUUUCCUGUGGUGGUGUCCAAUCGCUAGAGUAAGUCAGUGUAGUCGCAUUAACUGACUUUUUUGGGACUGUCAGUGGUAAGGUACAAGGCAGUAGCUGGGGGCUGACUGAAUGGGCGGUGAGAGAGGAUGGUAGAGUGGACUGGAAGGGGGCUGUUUCCAGCCACAAAGCUGUGGCAGUGGGAAUACUGAUGUGCGGUGGGCGGCUGUGACGUAGGACCAGCACCUGAUGAUGAGGCCUGGAGAGAGGUUGUUUCUGAGUGGGACCACCUAGAGAAAAAGGAGCCUGCUGACAAAGUUCAGAAAGGGUGUGAAGCCUCAUAUGGCAAGAGGCUUCAAAGACGGGGUGGAAGACAGCGUGACAGAAACGAGCAGUACGGAGCAAUGAAGUCCUUGAGGGAAAACUAGCUUUAGCUAGUGAUCGUGGAGUCACAGAGUGAAAUGUUGCCCACCAGGCAAAGACCAAUGAUCAUAUCAUAGACAGGGAAAUCGAGUCAGUCUAGUCACAGCUCUUGCUGUAACUCUUAGAAGACCCUUGAUGGAUGAAGACUCAAACAGGCUCUCUUUUUCUUACUGUUUGGACAUCUUUCAGGCUUUAACAUGAACUAACUACCAUUAUCCUAAUUUUACAGAUGGGGACAGACAGGUUGCGUGACAUGCUCUAAAUCACGUGAGCAGUCUGUGUCAGAGUGAGAAACUGCACCUGGGUCUCUGAAUGGUGAGGCUGUUGCUCUUGGCACUACGUCAUCCUGACUGCAAACAAAACAGAGAGCUUGACUUUGCCUAUGUCCUUUCUGUGCCUACAAAUGUGCCCAGCUUCUGACGUGGGAGCCAGCGUGCCCGAGGCAAGUCUAGUACCUCCACAUGACGUGCAAAACCUUCAACAUGCUGAUUAGAGAGCCUAACAGGGAAAUUUCUCACUUCUAAAUGCUACUGCUGCAGUGAUCCAGCCCAGCCUCUCCUCUGGAGGGUGAGUACAGGCAGCCUUUCUGUCACAGCACUCAGCAAAGUGCAGUUUCAUCUGAAACACUGAUUACCAGCAGCCAGGAAGUGACCCACAGGUCACUGUUCUCCUCUGGGUGUUUGUACCCAUCUUCCAUGUCCAGCACAACACCCAAACCACAGGGCAAUGAGCUGGACACUCCUGGCCUGCUUUCUGCUGAGGAUCAUCUGCUCCACAGCAAUGCAUUGGUGAAUCACUGGGCCAGAAAGCAAGUGCACACGGGGGAGCAUGACUGUCUUUGCUAAUGGUUAAAGCAUUCACAUGGGAGUUCUAGGCUCUGGACUCUGCUCCCAGGACUGUUUAUGCAUUUUACAUGAAAUAGUCACUAGGUAACAUAUAAUCCCUGAUCAAAACCCUCAGGGGAUUUAGGCAAAGCAACACCCAGUUUCUGGAUCUCGAUCAGACUUAGGUGUGAAAUGGGCUGAGCUGCUUGGCCCUGUCAAGCCUGGGGCAGUUCUGGGCAUGCACAAAGGUGGAACUCUAGAUAGCUGGGGAGCUUGAAAGUUUUAGAAAAGCUGGAGAUUGAAGGGGCCAGAUAGUGAGAAGGACCUAGGAGCUACAGUGGGAUGUAUAUGCAAGCAUUUCAUUCCAAACUGAAGAUUUAGGAUAAAACAUCAGCUGCUUUAGUGACAAGGGUCUCUUAUAGGGAAACAGUUGUGUUUGUAGAUUCCUGAAAUGGAAGCUUACUUACAUCAUCCUUUUAUGCGUUUUUUUUAAAAAAUUGUCCCAUCCUAACCACUGCACUUGCAUGUAUUUAUUUCCACUAGGCUGCCUGUGCUGAGCCGCACAAUGGUGGCUGCCAUAUGAUUAACUUGUUAUUCUUACCAAGCGUGACAACUGCUGUAGCAAAAUCAAGAGCAACCUGCUCUAAUGUAAACUGAUUUCAGAUUGCCCCUGGCAGUCCCAGCUACCUCAUCUAACCUCUUUUUUUGCCAGUCUUUCUUUUUUUUUUCUUUUUUGUCUUCCACUGAAGACGCACCCUAUGCUUUCAUGUAAGGUGCUUUAUCAGGCUGGCUGUUGCACCAGUGUUCAUGACAUGCAAAGAAGCUUCUCUGCUCUUAGCCAUGGCGUGUUUUAAAGCCACUUGGAUUCUCCAGCAAAUGCAGAAGUCAGCUGCCAGUCCACUCCAGAGAUGGCUAAUGAUUAUUGGUACCCAAGAACGUUUAGCUGCGAAACACCCUAGAUGUUUGUGUCCAGCUCUUGAUGGGGCUGUUGCAUCUUGAUACCCCACCUGCACGUUUGGAGAAUGAUGUGGGACUGGAUAAACGCAGAAAAAGAGAAGUUCAUUCCCUGACAGCACUGUCACUCCAAACACAUGCCAGAUACCAAGGGGGAAGCAUUUGCCUUGGUAAAAGGGGGAAUGAUGGAUUUGGGCAGGGAGUACUGUGGGAGAAGCAGUCUGAUUUGCUGUCAUAGCUGCCAUAUUGGUGUGUAUGAUGAGUAUGAUAUAAAUUACUAUCUAUAAAUAAAUACCACAACAGCAUUUUAAUGAGGUGUUAUCUAGUAGCACUUGUCCAGGCUGGUAGUGUUAUGCUAAGACUGGAGAAGUAUCUCCGAGCAAGCUUCUUGGCUAAACCUUCAUAAACAUGGUCUCACUCAAGAUCUAACUAUGGUUUGUUUGGAUAAGAGGUUUUGUUUGUUUGUUUCUGAACAUAUUUUCAAAUGCAUAUGGGUUUUUACUUUUUUUUCUUUUUAACUUCUUGGCCCAGGUUUUGUGUUGGUGUCACAGAACCCAACUGGUGCAGAGGCAAGGGCUAAAUCUCAUGCCUUUUCUGAGCAUUGCUGUUCUGACAAGAACCACCUUGCAGAAGGGCUGGGUCAUCUGGGAUUUUGCAGGGGGACAUCUGGGACUGUAACGCACAGGAGUGUCCUGUGUCUCUCCAGAGACUGAGUCAUGUAUAUCCUUACCACUGGCCCCUCCUGUGUCCUUAGCUUCUCUUGGUGAGCAUGCACAGCUGGGGUAUUUGUAGCCAAUGCUGGUUGAAGGCACGGUCUCUUGGAUCCACGCUCCACAUUUGCAAGGGAUUGGCUGAGACCCAGCAGCCAACCCUGAGAUUUUUCCGUGGCAGUUAAGGUACUUUUCUGAGCCUUUGGCAGCCUGAGCUGCUGGGCAAAUGGCUACACGUGAGUGCUUCAUGGCACAGCAAGUCAGACGGGACAUAGCCACAUGCUCUGUAGAGUUGCGCUGUGCACAUAUGCACUAUUUAUCUGUCCGGCUCUGUAGAGUCCUCCUGCUCAGCAUUGUGUCAGAUCCCACAAGGUGGUCCCCUGCAUACCUGAGCGCACAGGCUGCUUAAUCCAUAUGUGCCAGGGUGGAUAUGGCACUAGGGGUGACCCCUGUUUUUUUAUUUGAACUGAAUAAGUCAUGGUAGGAGGCAAAUGUUGAGCUGGGGGUUGGGUUUGGAGGCCAGAUCUGUUGCUUUCACAACAUUUCAGGCCAAAACAAUGGUUUCAUCAGAAAGCCUCUCAACGUGUUAAGUUGACACCACAAGAAUGUGCAAGAACUGCAUAUAUCCAAAAGAGAGCCAAGAAAUAUGUCUUUGUCAUACUAGAUCUGAACUGAAGACUUUUUUGGCAUAUUUGAGGAUUCACAUCUGAUACAUCCUAAUGACUCCUGUGCAUUAAAGACAAGGCCUCUUUUCUGCUCAGUUUGAAGCUCUGAGACAGAAGGUUCAGUUCUUUGAUCCUUAACAUCUCUGAAAUGAAGUCUGGAUUGACUGUCUGGACUUGUGAGGCAUACUCAGAAUUCAUUCAUAUUAGAAAUAAAUAAUAACUUUCAGGUGAUGCUAUAGAGAUAACAGCUUCCAUUGUUUUUGAGGAAACAGGAACUCCAGCCAGGUCUCCCUGAUCAACAGCUGUUAAAAAAAAAAAAUCACAAAAUAAUUUAGGUUGGAAGAGGCAUCUAGAAGGCUCCAGUCCAACCUCUUCAGAGCAGGGGUUAGCUUAGGUUACUCAGGGCUUUGUCCACCAAAUUUUGAAACUCUCCAAAGAAUGGAGAUUUCACAGAUCUCUCUGGGCACCUUUUCCAGUGCAUAACUUGCUUGUGUUUUGAGCAAUUCUUUCCUUAUGUCCAACAGAAUUUCCCUUGCUGCAACUUGCAGUCAUUGCCUCUUGCCUUUUGCUAUGCACCUCUGAGAAGGGUCUGGCUCCCUUAUCUCUGAUACUGCCUAGUAUUCGGUUAGCCUUCAUCAUGGCAAAGGCACCCUGCUGACUUCUGUCAAAAUUUCUUUUCACCAGGACCCCAGGGCCUUUUCUGCAAAGCUGCUUUCUAGCUACUCAGUUCCCAGCCUGUGCUGUUGCACAGGUUUAUUGUGUCAGGUGCAGACUUUGCGUUUAUCUUCACUGAAUUCCGUGAGGUUUCUGUCAGCGCAGUCCUACAGGUUGCUGAAGACCUUCUGAAUGGCUGCCUUGUCCUCCAGCAUAUUGAUCCACGCUUCGACUUCAAUGUCAUGCACAAACUUGCUGAGAGGGCCGUCUGCCCUAUCAUGCAGGUUGCUGUUGAAGACUGGCCCUAGUCUUGUCGCUUGAGGAAUGCCAUUCCUAGCUGAUCUCCAAUUACAUGUCAAACUGUUGACUAUUACCCUUUGAGCUUUGUGGUCCAGCCAUGAGCUUUUAUCACCCAUCUUGUGGUCCACCCAUCCAGUCCAUACCACUCCAGUUUGGCUAAAAUGGGAGA